CCCCUGCCCAAGGGCUCUUGAUCCUGGGCAGACUUAGAAGCAGUGCAGGGCCUCAGUGUGGGCCCUGAGCCUCGGGCUCUAAAGGGUGAAUGGCACGUUCACACCAUCGUCUUUCCUGGAAACGACAGCGCCUGCCAUUCAGGACAUUACCCAGCCCCCGGCCUGAUAGCCCAUGACUCUCCGGUUCAUAACACAAAAUCACACUUUUCAUCAAGAAGCUUGUAUUCUCCAGAUAAUUCAAGAAUCCACACAGCAAAUCCAGCACAGACUGUUUGCUUCCCAACACCCAGACACAUGUGCCUGCAAAUUCCUGAUGUUACGAAGACCUGCCCCGGAGAGGGGAGGCAUCGCCCCAGGCAACCCCAGUAUGCUGACAACCCACACCCCAGACAACUCCAGGAGACUGACAACCCACACCCCAGCUGACCCCGCAUCCUGGCUGUGAUGGGGCUGCCAUCCACACCGCCUGCUCCAAGGGCUCUGCUGCUCCGGGUUGGACCUGCACGGUUCUGGGUCACUGCAGGACUUGGGACAAGUGACUCAGUUCCCCAUUGAGCAGGACAGCAUCCCAGCCGCCCUGGGUUACUGUGAUAUCAGGAGUCAGUGGCCAACGUUUCCUGAGCCCUCUUUCUGAGGCCAGACGCCAGCAUGGAGGCUGCAGCGAGUCCCUUCCCUCAUCUGCACGAGGCUUGGGGACCCCAUGGCCACCUGGCCCAGGCCAGCAAAGACAAUCGCCGGAUGUCUGAGUACCCCCUCUCCUUCCAAAACAAACAGAAAACCCGUCCACAGCAUCUGUCGACCAAAAGAAGAACCGCCAGAGUCCAGGGAAGCAGCUUGCCGGGAACCUGCCAGGUUUGCAUCGAAUUCCCCGAGUUCCGGAAACCCCGUCCGUCCCAGGCAAACAGGCACCGUGGGUCACCCUUCCGGGACCCACAUUCGCGCCAGGCCUAGGUGGAGGCCUUGGCCCUGGGAAGGAAGGCUGACCAGAAGCC
rnacentral:lncRNA from 1 species